UACGUAGGUGGCAAGCGUUGUCCGGAUUUACUGGGCGUAAAGGGCGCGCAGGCGGUCGGCCAAGUCGAGUGUGAAAGCCCCCGGCUCAACUGGGGAGGGUCAUUCGAUACUGGUCGACUCGAAGGCAGGAGAGGGAAGCGGAAUUCCCGGUGUAGUGGUGAAAUGCGUAGAUAUCGGGAGGAACACCAGUGGCGAAGGCGACUACCUGGCCUGUUCUUGACGCUGAGGCGCGAAAGCUAGGGGAGCAAACGGG
rnacentral:rRNA from 1 species